rnacentral:rRNA from 1 species
CGCGUGAGAAUCUACCUUUUAGUGGGGGACAACUCGGGGAAACUCGAGCUAAUACCGCAUAUGUUCUACGGAAUAAAGCAGGGGACCUUCGGGCCUUGCGCUAAAAGAUGAGCUCGCGUGAGAUUAGCUUGUUGGUGAGGUAAAGGCUCACCAAGGCGACGAUCUCUAGCUGGUCUGAGAGGAUGAUCAGCCACACUGGGACUGAGACACGGCCCAGACUCCUACGGGAGGCAGCAGUGGGGAAUAUUGGACAAUGGGGGCAACCCUGAUCCAGCAAUUCCGCGUGUGUGAAGAAGGCCU